CAUUAAUACACUUGAAUAACAUUUACAUUCUUACGUUACAUACAAAACAGAUAAGACACAAAGUUCACUGUCCAUAUUCAUGAAAGCUAAACCCUCCUCUUGAUUGGAAUGCUACUUAAACCAUGAUUUCAACAACAACUUGGGUGUCUUGUGCUGGUACGUAUGUACUUGUUUAGUCUGAUAUUUUACAUGAAUGCGGCUGUAAUUCAUUGCCUUGUAAACCAUUCUUUUAUUAGAGACACAGUGCGUUCCAGAUGCGUUCACACUUUUUUUCAGCUACUCCAUGGCACUGGUCGGUCAGUGCUAGCAACUGGCUAAUUCUCAGAGAUUAGACUCAUUAAAUUUAACGUCAGUAAUAUUUUUGUAUUUAU